UACGAAGGGGGCUAGCGUUGCUCGGAAUCACUGGGCGUAAAGCGCACGUAGGCGGAUUGUUAAGUCAGGGGGGAAAUCCCGGGGCUCAACCCCGGAACUGCCUUUGAUACUGGUAGUCUCGAGUCCGGAAGAGGUGAGUGGAAUUCCGAGUGUAGAGGUGAAAUUCGUAGAUAUGUGGAGGAACACCAGUGGCGAAGGCGACUCUUUGGUCUGUAACUGACGCUGAGGCGCGAAAGCGUGGGGAGCAAACAGG
rnacentral:rRNA from 1 species